ACUAUCUUAGUAUAUUAAUUAUUUUAGCUUUUCGUGCUAUAGAUAUUGCACUAAGCAAUAGAUAGUA
rnacentral:tRNA from 3 species